CUUCUACUUUCCUAGUCCGUCAACGGUAUCAGGCUUCAUCUCAAAAUCGAAGUCUUGGCUAAGAUCCAAUCAAUCCAUAAUGAAUUUCAAGCUUUAAUCUUGAAGGAAAAUCUAAGUCUUGGCUAAGCUCCGAUCAAUCCGUCAUCAGAUCCAGAAUUUCAAGCUUUAAUCUGAAGGACUCUCCCUCCCUCGGUUCACAGUGCUAUUAUUGCAUAGGAAUCUUCCGGCGGAUUGUCUGAGACGGCCCCCUCGUCGUCCAGACCUCGGUGUUGAGAACUCCAUUGAUCUAUGCAGUUGUGGGCGUGUUUUUGCCUUUGGUUGGUCUAAGGACCUCUUUUUCUCUCUUUGAGAACCCUUUCUGUUAACUCUACUUAACACUUUACCCAAAAAAAAGAAAAAUUCCUCAGACCCCCUCAAUGUCCAGACCUCGGUGGUUGAGAGCUCCAUUCCUCUAUGCAGUUGUGGGCCUGUUUGUGCCUUUGGUUGGCCUAAGGACGUUUUUUUCUCUCUUUGAGAGCUGUUAAUUCUACU